CAACAAAAAAGAAGAGUAUCAGCACACUGCCCGCUUCCGGCGCCUUCACACUCGUGGGAACGUUCUAAUCUCUAACCAGCACUGUAAUCCUGCUGAAUCCAAGGUUUUAACCAGUAUCUCCUAUCAAGUCUACCGGAAGGAAAACCAAGGUGAUCUGGGCCACUCUCCCUGGCUUUACACCUAAUUCAAAGCAGCUUUUAACUACCGUGGAUUUAGUUCUGGCUGUAUCUCUGAACAGACAGGAUAUCAAGAUGAGCAACAAUUCAAAUUGCAGGUGCUCAGAUGAAACGCAGCUGCAGUUUCCCCUCUGGAUCAUGGAUAAAAUUCUUCCAUUGGAUACACAUUUUAAAGGAAUUAAGCCUCGCUGCAAGGAGCACUCCCGCGUUUGCCAUCUCCAGAGAAGUCAGGGCAGCAGCUGCGCUCCGGCCGGAGGAGCCGCGCAGAAGCGCCCGUCGGGGCUCCCGCAGAGCCAUGUCCCGCAAGCCCCGCGGAAGAGCGGCGGGGCCGUGCCCGGUUUUCAAGCACGGGGGAGAUGAUUUUCUCUUCAAUUGCUCCUGAUCUCAGCCCUGAGGCUGGACCACUCCAGGUGGGAUGAAGGACAUCCCUUAUUUGCGGCACUGUGGCAGCAGGACAGCUUGGUGAAGACCUGAAAGAAAAAGAGCCUGGCUGUAGAAUUGGACCCUUAAAACCAAUUAACUUCUUUGAAGCACGGUCACCAUGCAGUGAGUGAUGAUGCCAGCCCGUCACUGCUCCUCUUGUCCAGCCACCAGCAGCUCAAUCCCUUUCCCGUGGAGCCUGUGCAGUGCCAGGGCUCGGCCUUCAUUGCUG